AUAAACAAACAGCUCGUCUGAAAUGCCUGAGUGUACCCCCGCUUUUGCGGCGUAUUCGGUGUGAUAAAUCUUCACCGGAGUUGAUCCCUUUAUGGGGUCGCGUCUGUAAUGGUGUGGCUCUAUGCUUCGAACCGUCUUCUAUCGAGACAAAUCUCUGACAAUUUGACCUCAAAUCGGGUGGGACUACCCGCUGAACUUAA
rnacentral:misc_RNA from 1 species